rnacentral:rRNA from 1 species
CAUAUCACUAAGCGGAGAAAAAGAAAAUAACCAUGAUUCCUAAAGUAACGGCGAGUGAAAUAGGAAAAGCCCAUAGCCGAAUUCUGUUGUCCUCGACGGCAACUAGAAGUUGUGGCGUUGGGAACUGCCUAUUGUAACUCUCGGUCAGACUACGCGACUCCUCUUGAUUGUGGUUUGCCCAUAGCAGGUGAAAGGCCUAUUGUCGUAGUUUUGUGCCGGGGGUGAUGGCAGUCCUUAGAGUCGGGUUGUUUGGGAUUGCAGCCCGAAGUAGGUGGUAAACUCCACCUAAGGCUAAAUACGAUCGCGAGUCCGAUAGCGCACAAGUACCGUGAGGGACAGUUGAAAAGAACUUUGAAGAGAGAGUUCAAAGUACGUGAAACCGUUCAGAGGUAAACGGGUAGAAAGUCGAAUUGGAGNCUGACAAUCAAGCCGGCGACCUAGUCUAAGUUGGGUUGGUAGCACGUUAAAGGCUACCAGCUUGCUUGUAUGGCUGGUUACGGUUGUAUUUGUUGGNUUCGGAUCGCCGCAACGGCAGUGACCCGACCGGCUGGCGUUUAGUCCUCUGGUCAAUGUGGAUCCGUAUGGGUCUUUACGUUGGCAAACGAUUAGGCGUCCCGCGUACAUGGCACAGUCGGCUAACAGCAAUUUAAGUGUUCCAACUGGUUGUCGUUCGUUUUGUAUUGGUAGUCUGAUCUUAAACAAGUUCACCUGCUAACAUCAGGGCGGCGGCAGCUGGCUUAACGACGGAGCAAGAAUUGUAUGGCGGCGUUUGACUGCGAAUUAUCUACCUGACCCGUCUUGAAACACGGACCAAGGAGUCUAACCUGUGCGCGAGUUAUUGGGAAUUGAAACCCAAAAGCAAAGUGAAAGCAAAAAUGGUGAGAUCUGUCGUAUAUUUGUUAAGAAUUGCGGCAGCGCAUCAUCGUCACGCCUCGAUUUGGCUUCGGCUAAAGAGGCGCAGACUGAGCGCACAAGUUGGGACCCGAAAGAUGGUGAACUAUGCGAGGCGAGGUCGAAGCCAGAGGAAACUCUGGUGGAGGACUGUAGCGGUUCUAACGUGCAAAUUGAUCGUCGCAGCUUCGUAUAGGGGCGAAAGACUAAUCGAACCAUCUAGUAGCUGGUUCCCUCCGAAGUUUCCCUCAGGAUAGCUGGCACUUUCGGAGAGCAGUUUUGUCCGGUAAAGCGAAUGACUAGAGGCCUUGGGGACAUAACGACCUCAACCUAUUCUCAAACUUUGAAUGGGCAAGAAGGGUAACUCACUUAAUUGGAGUUGCCUAUUAGAAUGCUUGAGUGCCAAGUGGGCCAUUUUUGGUAAGCAGAACUGGCGCUGUGGGAUGAACCAAACGUNUAGCUAAGGUGCCAAAUGCUAACGCUCAUCCGAACCCAUUAAAGGUGUUGGUUGAUAGAGACAGCAGGACGGUGGCCAUGGAAGUCGGAACCCGCCAAGGAGUGUGUAACAACUCACCUGCCGAAUCAACCAGUCCUGAAAAUGGAUGGCGCUGAAGCGUUGUGAACCUAUGCUAGACCGGCAUGGCAGUUUUUUUAAUUAAAUCAAGCUGUGCCGAGUAGGAGGGUCGCUGUGGUAUGCGUUGAAGCUUUGGGCGAGGGCCCGAGUCGAGCUGCCACAGGUGCAGAUCUUGGUGGUAGUAGCAAAUAUUCAAACGAGAACUUUGAAGGCCGAAGUGGAGAAGGGUUCCAUGUGAACAGCAUUUGAACAUGGGUCAGUCGGUCCUAAGCGAUAGGCAAAUGCCGUUCUGAAAGCAGGCUUUUAUUUAAAUACUAACAUAUUAAUUAGAAUGCCUGAUUUUGGUCGAAAGGGAAUCGGGUUAAUAUUCCCGAACCUGGACGCGGAGAUGGAAUCAUGGGCAACUGUGAUUCAGUGCGGUAACGCAAACGAUCUCGGAUUCGUCGGCGGGAGUCCUGGGAAGAGUUCUCUCUUCUUUGUAAGGGGCUGAAUCCCUGGAAUCGGCUUAGCCGGAGAUAGGGAUAUUGCAAAAGCGCCCGUAAAGCACCACACUUCUUGUGGUGUCCGGUGCACGACUGUCGACACUUAAAAGUCCGAGCUAGACGUUCAUAAUGUUCGCGCCAGGCCGUACCCAUAUCCGCAGCAGGUCUCCAAGGUGAACAGCCUCUGGCCUUAGACUGAUGUAGUCAAGGGAAGUCGGCAAAUUGGAUCCGUAACUUCGGAACAAGGAUUGGCUCUAUGGGUUGGGCCGUGACGGGCUGUGCUAGGAAGCGAUGCCUGCUACUGAUGCUUUGGGUNUGACUGGNAACGGUUGGGCCUAGCGUCGGUUGGCGGCGCGUGGAUCUGGCAUGGCUUCUGUCGGCGAUCCUCGUGGUCGUCGGCAUCGUUCGGCAAAAAGCAACCGCCAUAGAACUGGUACGGACCAGGGGAA